rnacentral:rRNA from 1 species
GAUGAACGCUGGCGGCGUGCCUAAUACAUGCAAGUCGAGCGAACAGACGAGGCGCUUGCUCCUCUGACGUUAGCGGCGGACGGGUGAGUAACACGUGGAUAACCUACCUAUAAGACUGGGAUAACUUCGGGAAACCGGAGCUAAUACCGGAUAAUAUAUUGAACCGCAUGGUUCAAUAGUGAAAGACGGUUUUGCUGUCACUUAUAGAUGCUUCCGCGCUGCAUUAGCUAGUUGUUAAGGUAACGGCUUACCAAGGCAACGAUGCGUAGCCGAACUGAGAGGGUGAUCGGCCACACUGGAACUGAGACACGGUCCAGACUCCUACGGGAGGCAGCAGUAGGGAAUCUUCCGCAAUGGGCGAAAGCAUGACGGAGCAACGCCGCGUGAGUGAUGAAGGUCUUCGGAUCGUAAAACUCUGUUAUUAGGGAAGAACAAAUGUGUAAGUAAAUAUGCACGUCUUGACGGUACCUAAUCAGAAAGCCACGGCUAACUACGUG